rnacentral:rRNA from 1 species
AUGCAUCUAGAUUGAUCCGCGGCCCGCAGAGUUUGAUCCUGGCUCAGAUUGAACGCUAGCGGGAUGCUUUACACAUGCAAGUCGAACGGCAGCACGAGAGAGUUUGCUCUCUUGGUGGCGAGUGGCGGACGGGUGAGUAAUAUAUCGGAACGUGCCCAGUAGCGGGGGAUAACUACUCGAAAGAGUGGCUAAUACCGCAUACGCCCUACGGGGGAAAGGGGGGGAUUCUUCGGAACCUCUCACCAUUGGAGCGGCCGAUAUCGGAUUAGCUAGUUGGUGGGGUAAAGGCUCACCAAGGCAACGAUCCGUAGCUGGUUUGAGAGGACGACCAGCCACACUGGGACUGAGACACGGCCCAGUCUCCUACGGGAGGCAGCAGUGGGGAAUUUUGGACAAUGGGGGAAACCCUGAUCCAGCCAUCCCGCGUGUAUGAUGAAGGCCUUCGGGUUGUAAAGUACUUUUGGCAGAGAAGAAAAGGUAUCCCCUAAUACGGGAUACUGCUGACGGUAUCUGCAGAAUAAGCACCGGCUAACUACGUGCCAGCAGCCGCGGUAAUACGUAGGGUGCAAGCGUUAAUCGGAAUUACUGGGCGUAAAGCGUGUGUAGGCGGUUCGGAAAGAAAGAUGUGAAAUCCCAGGGCUC